GGAAAUUUCAAUAAUAGUUUCAUCAUCCUGUUCCAAAUCAAUUGGAGCCUCAGCAUCAACGUCAUCCAAAUUAAUUUGAUGACUACUUUCAUGAACAUUGUAAUCUUCAACAUUUUUUGGAAUGUGUACUUCAUUUAGACCGGCGAACUCAUUCCCAUAUUGAUUAUGGGACACAUUUGCUUCAUUUUCGAUUUCGACAUCGAACAAGUUUUUAAUAAAUGAG
rnacentral:lncRNA from 1 species